rnacentral:rRNA from 1 species
UGACCACGAGACCGAUAGCGAACAAGUACCGUGAGGGAAAGUUGAAAAGAACUUGGAAGAGAGAGUUCAAGAGUACGUAAAACCGUUCUGAGAAACUGAGAAACCCGAAACAUCGAAAGGAGAGAUUCAAUGUUAUCGUUGUCUUCCAUUUAGUGGCGUGCGAUUGACCGGGAUUCGUCCCGCGAUACGCCGUCGGUUUAUGUGUCAGGCAUGCACUUCUCUCUCAGUAGGACGUCGCGACCCGUUUGGUGUCGAUCUACGACCGCGGCAGUAGCCUGUCACGAAUUUAUUCGCGCCAGACCCCGCGUGCUCCGGCCGACUGCCAGACGGUAUAAAUGAUAUGGUAUAGGGUCGCUUUUCAGCGUUCGGCCGGUUGCAAGCACGGACGGUUAUUGGCCGUCAGACCUAGUCCGGAAUCGAUGUCGCCUCGAGCUGUUAGCUACCGUGUUCUCGAACGGACUCUAUUACCGGUCAGCGAUGCUAUUGCUUUGGGUACUUUCAGGACCCGUCUUGAAACACGGACCAAGGAGUCUAGCAUGUGCGCGAGUCAUUGGGAAAUACAAAACCUAAAGGCGCAAUGAACGUAAAGGUUUGCUUAAGUAAACUGAGGGAUGACGGACCGCACCUACGGAUGCGUGCUUGCAAUCCCGAGGCGUCCCUCUCACUCUCAUUGCGAGAAGAGACGCACUCAGAGCGUACACGCUAGGACCCGAAAGAUGGUGAACUAUGCCCGGUCAGGUCGAAGUCAGGGGAAACCCUGAUGGAGGACCGUAGCGAUUCUGACGUGAAAAUCGAUCGUCGGAACUGGGUAUAGGGGCGAAAGACUAAUCAAACCAUCUAGUAGCUGGUUCCCUCCGAAGUUUCCCUCAGGAUAGCUGGCAUUCGAUGAGCGAGUCUCAUCCGGUAAAGCCAAUAAUUAGAAGCCUUGGGGCCGAAACAACCUCAACCUAUUCUCAAACUUUAAAUGGGUGAGAUCUCUGGCUUGCUUGAAUAGUGAAGCCAGAGAUUUGGAACAGAGUGCCUGGUGGGCCAUUUUUGGUAAGCAGAACUGGCGCUUUGGGAUAAACCAAACGCCGAGUUAAGGCGCCUAAACGACGCUAAUGGGAUACCAUGAAAGGCGUUGGUUGCUUAAAACAGCAGGACGGUGGCCAUGGAAGUUGGAAUCCGCUAAGGAGUGUGUAACAACUCACCUGCCGAAGCAACUAGCCCUGAAAAUGAAUGGCGCUGAAGCGUCGUGCCCAUACUCGGCCGCCAGGGCAUGAGAAAUGUUCAUAAUAGUUCGUUUUGACGCCCUGGUGAGUAGGAGGGUCGCGGUGGUGUGCGCAGAAGGGUUUGGGCGUAAGCCUGCCUGGAGCCGCCAUCGGUGCAGAUCUUGGUGGUAGUAGCAAAUACUCCAGCGAGGCCCUGGAGGACUGACGUGGAGAAGGGUUUCCUGUGAACAGCCGUUGCACACGAAUCAGUCGAUCCUAAGCCCCAGGAGAAAUCCUAUGUUGAUGUUGGUGUAUUUUAUUUUGAAUAAAAUUUCACACCCAUCGGGCAAAAGGGAAUCCGGUUUCUAUUCCGGAACCCGGCGGCGGAACCGUUUACAAGUCGGGCCCUCGCAAGAGAGUUCGUCGGGGUAACCCAAAAUGACCUGGAGACGCCGUCGGGAAAUACGGGUAGAGUUUUCUUUUCUGUAUGAGCGUUCGAGUUUCCUGGAAUCCUCUAGAAGGGAGAUAGGGUUUGGAACGCGAAGAGCACCGCUGUUGCGGCGGUGUCCGUAUCUUCCCCUCGGACCUUAAAAAUCCAGGAGAGGGCCACGGUAGGUGUCGCGCCGGUUCGUACCCAUAUCCGCAGCAGUUCUCCAAGGUGAAGAGCCUCUAGUCGAUAGAUAAAUGUAGGUAAGGGAAGUCCGCAAAUUGGAUCCGUAACUUCAGGAUAAGGAUUGGCUCUGAGGAUCGGGGCGUGCCGGGCUUGGUUGGGAAGGGGGCGUAGGCCGAUGUGCCGGGCCUGGGCGAGGUGAAAUUGUCCUUGUGACUUAGAUCCGAGCUCGGUGCCGUUUCUAGGCCCCCCGCGGAUCUUUCUUGCUGCGAGGUUUCUGUGCCGGCUUCGGUCGGUCAGUCGUAUUCUUCGGCCGCCAUUCAACGGUCAGCUCAGAACUGGCACGGACUAGGGGAAUCCGACUUACUAAUUAAAACAAAGCAUUGCGAUGGCCCUAGCGGGUGUUGACGCAAUGUGAUUUCUGCCCAGUGCUCUGAAUGUCAACGUGAAGAAAUUCAAGCAAGCGCGGGGAGUAACUAUGACUCUCUUAAUUCUGCUAUUGUGAUUGACACACAAAUCGUUGGGAGCAACGUAGAUAUGGAUCUGGCUCAUAAACGUAAGAUAGAACAUUAUAAGAGUUUGGACGCACAAAUAAAAGAAAGGUACAACGUAUCUCAUGUGAUAUUUAGUACUGUCACCUUAAAUAACAGAGGAGUGUGGCAUAUGGACUCUGCAAACUUUCUACUGUCAGGGAAAGUUAUUAAGAAAGACGAAUUAAAGAUUAUUUCCACAAGAAUUUUGAUCGGAGGACUCAACGGUUUCAGCGCUUGGACCAAAACAACGUCCAUGAGACGCCAGGGAAUAGGGUAGAAUGAAACCUGGAAUACUGCGUGCUGCCUGCGCAUAACAUCCCGUCAGGCAUAAAACUAGGAGUUAGGUUUAGUGGGUAUUGCCUUCG